rnacentral:rRNA from 1 species
UACAGAGGGUGCAAGCGUUAAUCGGAAUUACUGGGCGUAAAGCGCACGUAGGCGGUUUUUUAAGUCAGAUGUGAAAGCCCCGGGCUCAACCUGGGAAUUGCAUUUGAAACUGGGAAACUAGAGUGUGUGAGAGGGGGUUAGAAUUCCAAGUGUAGCGGUGAAAUGCGUAGAGAUUUGGAGGAAUACCAGUGGCGAAGGCGGCCCCCUGGCACAACACUGACGCUCAGGUGCGAAAGCGUGGGGAGCAAACAGG